rnacentral:rRNA from 1 species
GACAGAGGGGGCAAGCGUUGCUCGGAAUUAUUGGGCGUAAAGAGCGCGUAGGCGGUCCGAUAAGUCGGCUGUGAAAGUCAUGGGCUCAACCCAUGAAAGCCGGCCGAUACUGUCGGACUAGAGUCCGGAAGAGGCAAGUGGAAUUCCCGGUGUAGCGGUGAAAUGCGCAGAUAUCAGGAGGAACACCUGUGGCGAAAGCGGCGCACUGGACCACAACUGACGCUGAGGCGCGAAAGCUAGGGGAGCAAACAGG